AAUCCAUGAUGGAGGCAUUUUUUGAGGAGGUCCUUAAACCUCUCAUAAGCUUCAAACAAUGUUUCUGAUUCCUUUUGGUUGAAUGCAGACAUCUCUUGCCUUAGUUU